GCUCCGGUGGCCUUGUAGUUAAAGCGUCCGCCUCACAUGCGGGAGGUCGCGGGUUCGAACCCAGGCUGAGUCA